rfam:Dipodomys ordii contig_11628, whole genome shotgun sequence.
GGUGGCUCAGUGGUAGAGUGCUUGCCUAGCAAGCAUGAGGCCCUGGGUUCGAUUCCUCAGUACCA